UCACUGGAGGCAUGCAGAGGUGGUGGCUUUCUUACCCUGACAGUAUCCAGGCUGUUAAUGCAAACUGCCAUGCAGGAGCUGCAGCAGCUGGCAGCAAAGCACAGGUAUAAAGAAGUAAAAGCUGACCCAGUGCCCUGAAUGCAAAGGUAGAGCUCUGCAAAAUGUGUGCAAUGACUGACGUGCUGGUUGCAGAUCUUGAUCUGCACUUACUGCAUCUCACCUGGCAGAGCAGAGGUAUCCUGUGUGCCUGGGUUCUGCAGCUGACAGGCAGUUCCAUAGUGCUGACUCUCGCUUCCACCAAACAGAAGAAAGAUGGACUGGUGCCUGUUGUCUCUGUGCUCAUGAAAAGAGGAGCUGAAUCCACCACAAAAUCCAAGGCUCUACACAGCUCCAUGAGCUGUAGCCUUUCCAAUGGCUUGAUCAAUGGGACAG